rnacentral:tRNA from 1 species
GCGCCAUUAGCUCAGUUGGUAGAGCAAUUGACUCUUAAUCAAUGGGUCGCCGGUUCGAAUCCGUCAUGGCGCACCA